rnacentral:misc_RNA from 1 species
UUAGUAGAGAAAUAGAAAUUCGAAGAAAGGGGGGAAAAUACAAACUAAAUAUUGGGUCAUUUAAGCGUGUUUAGGUGCAUGGAAGCGUGAAGUGUCAGCGCAGUGAAGAAAGAGAUCCCCAAUAUUAGUCGUUAAGCUAACAGUAAACAGAUUUUCAAAUCUGAACUCACAAUAUACAACACAUUAAACAAGACCAAAGCUUUAGAAAAGAAAUUAGAUGAAAAUUCCCCCAAAAUAAAUAAAUAAAUAACCCAGCUAGCAUAACAAACAUUCCCCUGAAAUACCCAACAUUUUCCCGCAAAAUGAACAAACACUCAUCAACUUUUUUCAAA